UUGAAUUAUGUUUUCUAGGUGGGUUGUAGCUG
rnacentral:rRNA from 1 species